GAACAUAUUCAUUGCCUCUGUCAUUUGUCGAUCUCGCACUCACCCCCCCCCCCCUGCGCCCCGCGUAUUCCACAACCACGCACCCGAGAAUUCAGCAGUACCUUCCGCAUAGUGCAUCUUGUGACGUUUCUUCCUUUUCUGCACAACACCAGGCACACGAAACGUUCGACGAAAUGUCGGCGCCGAUUCGCGUGACGGUCGAAGCACCCAUCAACAUUGCAUUCAUCAAGUAUUGGGGAAAGCGUGAGGGAGGUGAGAAGCUGAUCCUGCCCACCAAUGACUCCUUUAGUAUCACACUCUCCACAAAACCGUUCCGCUCCAAGACCUCAGUCGAGCUCCGCAAGGACGCCGCCGAGGAUGAACUCUGGCUGAAUGGGAAGAAGAGCAACAUUCAGGAGACGCCGCGCAUCCAGUCGGUGCUCUCGUGCAUCCGCGAUAACUGCCCGGGCAGCAUGAAGGAUCUCAAGGCGUACAUCGUGUCCGAUAACAACUUUCCGACAGCAGCCGGCAUGGCUUCCUCCGCCAGCGGCUACUGCGCGCUCGCCGCGGCGCUCGUGAAGGCGUACAGAGCCACCGUGGACGUGUCGAUGCUGUCGCGCCUCGGCUCCGGCAGCGCGUGCCGCAGCGCCUACGGCGGCUUUGUCAUUUGGCACAAGGGGGAGAAGCCUGAUGGCACGGACUGCAUCGCUACACAGUUUGUAGAUGAGAAGUACUGGCCUGAGGUGCAGGUGAUGUGCGCCGUUCUCAAGGGCGAGACGAAGGAUGUGCCGAGCACGGCUGGCAUGCAGCAGUCGCUCAAAACGUCCCCCAUGAUGCAAGAGCGCAUCGCGUCCAUCGUGCCGGCGCGCAUGAACGCCGUCAAGGAGGCGAUUCGGCACCGCGACUUCAACAAGUUUGCUGCGAUCGCUAUGGCGGACUCUGAUGACCUGCAGGAGAUUUGUCGCACAACCGAGCCGCGCAUCCAGUACGCCACGGAGGACAGCUACGCCAUGAUCCGCCUCAUCCGCGCCUUCAACGCCAAGAAGGGCUACAAUGCCGUGGCCUACACCUUCGACGCCGGCGCGAACUGCUUCAUGUUCACCCUCAAGCAGGAUCUGCCAGAGGUGGUGGUGAUGCUGCGUGCGCACUUUCCCACCUCGUGGGACAAGAUGUGUUUUCACGAUGCAGACCUCUUGGAGGAGUGCAAGGCGUGCCAGCUGCCUGCAUCGUUCGAGGGUCUCAUCGACUACCCGAAAAAGUCGUUGGAGAUGCUCCUCCAGUCUCCCGUGGGCCAAGGCAUCGUGUACCUCGACGACACCGAGUCCCUUAUUCCACCGAACGCUUAGCGGGCCCUGUCGCUGAGACCUCUCCCUUUCCCCUUCCCCUCCCUUUCCCUUCUCUCCCCCUCGCCAAGCGAUUAGUUGCCUUCUCCGUGCCAGAGCGGAGGAGAAGACAUGUGUGACUUGAAUGACGCAUUCUCCUCUCCCGCGUCUCUUCACGUUCAUCGCGGCUAUUUUUGCCCCUCCUCUUCGCCGACCCAUGCCCCGUCUUCGUCACAGCACCUUCAUCGUGUGUGGGUGUGCUACUGUAGAAGUGCUCGGCAUCUCUUUCGUUGAGAACAUUAAUGCAGUCGGCAAAG
rnacentral:misc_RNA from 1 species